CCUACGGUGGGCAGCAGUGGGGAAUAUUGGACAAUGGGCGAAAGCCUGAUCCAGCCAUGCCGCGUGUGUGAAGAAGGCCUUCGGGUUGUAAAGCACUUUCAGUGGGGAAGAAAGCCUUGGGGCUAAUACCCUCGAGGAAGGACAUCACCCACAGAAGAAGCACCGGCUAACUCCGUGCCAGCAGCCGCGGUAAUACGGAGGGUGCGAGCGUUAAUCGGAAUUACUGGGCGUAAAGCGCGCGUAGGCGGUCUGAUAAGCCGGUUGUGAAAGCCCCGGGCUCAACCUGGGAACGGCAUCCGGAACUGGCAGGCUAGAGUGCAGUAGAGGAAGGUAGAAUUCCCGGUGUAGCGGUGAAAUGCGUAGAGAUCGGGAGGAAUACCAGUGGCGAAGGCGGCCUUCUGGACUGACACUGACGCUGAGGUGCGAAAGCGUGGGUAGCAAACAGGAUUAGAUACCCGAGUAGUC
rnacentral:rRNA from 1 species